rnacentral:pre_miRNA from 7 species
CCCCUCUUACCCCUACUGCCCGGGACCCAGUUCAAGUAAUUCAGGAUAGGUUGUGGUGCUGACCAGCCUGUUCUCCAUUACUUGGCUCGGGGGCCGGUGCCCUGCAGCCUUGGGGUGA